rnacentral:rRNA from 1 species
UACGGGGGGGUGCGAGCGUUGUCCGGAAUCACUGGGCGUAAAGGGCGCGUAGGUGGCGUGAUAAGGGUGUGGUGAAAAGCCCCGGGGCUCAACCCCGGGUCUGCCAUGCCGACUGUCAGGCUGGAGUACUGUAGGGGGCAGGCGGAAUUCCGGGUGUAGCGGUGGAAUGCGUAGAGAUCCGGAGGAAGACCGGUGGCGAAGGCGGCCAGCUAGACC